rnacentral:lncRNA from 1 species
UACUGAGACAUUAAGGCAGUGUUUGGUUGGGAAAUAGGAAUAGGGAUAGGCUCUUAUCCCUUCCUUAUACCCAAAUACUAAUUUUUUAUUCGAGAACAGUAAUUUUCAGUUAUCUAUAAUAACCGUUUAUAACUAUUCCCACCAAUAACUGCAUUUUCUAUAUAAAACUACAUAAUAUUUUUCUUAUUUCAUAUUAUCUAUCCAAACGUUAUUUUUCUUAUCCCCGGAAACAAUUCAAUUUUUAUCCAAAUAUUUUUUUUUUCUUACCCCCAUAUUUGUACUUAUCUCUGUAAUAGCUAGUUCUUACUUAUACCUGAACCAAACGGUACCUAAGUAAUCGCAAACAAUUAUCUACUGUAGUUUUUCAGAU